rnacentral:snoRNA from 1 species
ACCCUCUCAGGAUGGCACCUGGAGAAUUUCCAGUACUCUACCAGUCUUGGUUACGGGAGGGAGAAUCAGACAGAGGCCUACCCAUUCCAUUCCUAGCUUGGCCAGUGGCUAGCGAGUGGAAGGCAAUCUGUUACAAGU